GUUACUGGCGGACGGGUGAGUAACACGUAGGUGACCUGCCCCGAAAUGGGGGAUAACUACUGGAAAUGGUAGCUAAUACCCCAUGUGGGCCGUCAUUCUGUUGGCGGAUUAAGGCUCCGGAGCUUCGGGAUGGGCCUGCGGCCGAUUAGCUAGUUGGCAAGGAAAUGGCCUACCAAGGCGAUGAUCGGUAGCUGGACUGAGAGGACUAUCAGUCACACUGGCACUGAAACCCGGGGCAGACUCCUACGGGAGGCAUCAGUAAGGAAUAUUGCGCACUGGAGGAAACCCUGACGCAGCAACGCCGCGUGCUCUAUGAAGGUCUUCGGAUUGUCUAAGCCCUUUUCUGGGAGAUGACAAAGGACAGUACCCCAGGAAUAAGUCUCGGCUAACUACGUGCCAGCAGCCGCGAUAAAACGUAUGAUGCAAGCGUUAUCCGGAUUUACUGGCGUAAAGGGCGUCUAGGCGGUGUCUUAAGUUGAGCGUGAAAUCUCCCGGCUCAACUGGCAGGAGUCGCCCGAUACUGGGACACUUAAGGGCAGGAGAUGAAAGUGGAAUUCCCGGAGUGCUGAUGGAAUACUUAGAUAUCGGGAGGAACACCAGUGGUCAAGGCGCCUCUCUGGCCUGUACAUGACGCUGAGGGGCGAAAGAACGGGUAACGAACGGCAUUAAAUCCCCCCGGGAGACCACGCUGUACACGAAUGGAUACUAGGUGUUGGUGGUUAUUGAUCACCAUCAGUGCCGCAGCUAACGCGUUAAGUAUCUCGCCUGGGGACUACGAGCGCAAGGCUAAAACUCAAAGGAAUUGACGGGGGCCCGCACAAGCAGCGGAGCGUGUGGUUUAAUUCGAGGCUACGCGAAGAACCUUACUUGGGCUUGACAUGUUAGUGGUAGUGAAGCGAAAGCGGAACGUACCCUUCGGGGAGCUAGCACAGGUAUUGCAUGGCUGUCGUCAGCUCGUGCCGUGAGGUGUUAGGUUAAGUCCUGUAACGAGCCCAACCCUUGUCUCUAGUUGUACUUAUAUAGUGAGACCUUCAGGGUAUACCUGGAGGAAGGCGGGGAUGACGUCAACUCAGCAUGUCCUUUAUGUGCAGGGCGACACACACGAUACAAUGUCCGGUACAACGGGUUGCCAAAACGCGAGGCGGAGCUAAUCCUUCAAAGCCGGUUUCAGUUCGGAUUGCAGUCUGCAACUCGAAUACAUGAAGCUGGAGUUGCUAGUAACUGCAGGUCAGCCACGUUGCGGUGAAUUCGUUCCCGGGCCUUGUACACACCCCCCGUCACGUCAUGAAAGCUGCCAACACCUGAAGUCGGUGGGCUAACUAACAAGAGAGGCAACCGUCUAGGGUGGGGUUGGUGAUUG
rnacentral:rRNA from 1 species